rnacentral:rRNA from 1 species
AUACGGAGGGUGCAAGCGUUAUCCGGAAUCAUUGGGUUUAAAGGGUCCGUAGGCGGACUAUUAAGUCAGAGGUGAAAUCCCACAGCUCAACUGUGGAACUGCCUUUGAUACUGGUAGUCUUGAGUUAUAUGGAAGUAGAUAGAAUAAGUAGUGUAGCGGUGAAAUGCAUAGAUAUUACUUAGAAUACCGAUUGCGAAGGCAGUCUACUACGUAUAUACUGACGCUGCGGGACGAGAGCGUGGGGAGCGAACAGGAUUAGAAACCCUAGUAGUCC